GACGAACGCUGGCGGCGCGCCUAACACAUGCAAGUUGAACGAGCGAGAGAGAGCUUGCUUUCUCGAGCGAGUGGCGAACGGGUGAGUAACGCGUGAGGAACCUGCCUCAAAGAGGGGGACAACAGUUGGAAACGACUGCUAAUACCGCAUAAGCCCACAGGUCGGCAUCGACCAGAGGGAAAAGGAGCAAAUCCGCUUUGAGAUGGCCUCGCGUCCGAUUAGCUGGUUGGUGAGGUAACGGCCCACCAAGGCGACGAUGCGUAGCCGACCUGAGAGGGUGACCGGCCACACUGGGACUGAGACACGGCCCAG
rnacentral:rRNA from 1 species